AACUUGUAAUGAGAGAGAGACAGAGAGAGAGAGAGAGAGAGAGAAAAGGGGUCUUUCUCUCUCUCUGCCUCUCCUGACUCUGCCUGUUCAUCUCUAG